UGAAAUUAUUAUAAUAAUUGACCGUUACCCAAAGAGCUCUUUUCAUACAAAACUCUCUUCUCUUUUCUUCACAAACACAGACAGAGGCUCUUUUCAUGGCUGAAUUUCUCUCUUCUGCACCAUAACGCCAUCAGAAUGCAGACAGUAAUCGCGAAGAUGAAGGUGGUGAGGAGUGAAAUUGCUGCGAAACAAGUGGUUGUGAUCGAGGAAAAUGAGGAGAUACAUUGGUAUGCUUCUUGAAUUUCGUCCGGAGGACACAGAGCUUGAAUCUGAAAGAGGCAGAGGGGUGGUUAGCUUUGUUUUUAUUCAUUGAUCCCUUACCCAACACAAUCAGCAAAGAUUUUUGAUGAUUUUUUUGAGUUUGAUUGCUCAACAUAGAUUACAAUCCUUCCAAUUUUCCAGAUCAUUUUAAAUCUACUACUCAAAUCCAAAUGCAAAGGAUCUUCAAGAUUAAUGGGAUAAAACAAGACCUUGGUUCAUUGUGAAAGAGUAUGGACAAGAUGGAAUCGUAUCCACAAGCUGCGAUGUUUGUAGUUUCGGUAUCCUGAUUGAUGGAAAAUUUACUGGAUAGUUGAGCAUACGACGUUGGGUUAGUGAUUCUUUUCCAGAUGAGAUUCAUAAGGUGGUGGAUGCUAAUUUGGUACAGCUAGGGGAUGAACGAAUUGAUGCAAAGAUGCAGUGUUUGUUGUCUAUUAUAGAGUUAGCUUUGAGCUGUACUUAUAGCACCUGAUGCAAGAAUUAGUAUGGAAGAUUCUCUUUCAUCACUUCAAAAUAUCAGGCUCCAGUUUGUCGGUAGUCGCCACCGAAAAAAGCAGCUGAAGGAUUUAGUACCGAAAAAAGCAACUUGCUUGGUAAUGGGAAGGUCUACAAUGUACAAUUGGAGGGUGCAUUCAAAAGUUUUGAUACAUGCUGAAUGGGACACUUGACAAAUGGCUAUACAAUCACAACUUUUUCUUAGACAUGUUGCAGAGAUUAAGUAUAAUGAUAGAUGUUGCAUCCGCAAUAGACUAUCUCCACAAUGGCUAUUCAACACCUGUGGUGCAUUGUGACUUGAAGCCAAGCAACGUGUUGCUAGAUAACGAAAUGGUUGGUCAUGUCAGCGAUUUUGGCAUUGCAAAAUUGUUAGGUGCAGGGGAGGAUUUUGUUCAAACAAGGACAAUAGCAACCAUUGGAUAUAUUACUCCAGAAUAUGGACAAGACGGAAUAGUCUCCACCAGCUGUGAUGUUUAUAGUUUUGGCAUCGUGAUAAUGGAGAUGUUCACAAGAAGGCGACCAAGUGAUGAAAUAUUUACCGGAGAAAUGAAUAUAUGAUGUUGGAUUAAUGAUUCUUUUCCGAGUGGUAUUCAUAAGGUGGUGGAUUCCAAUUUGAUACGCCAGGGGAUGAACAAAUCGAUGCAAAGAUGCAGUGUUUUUCAUCUAUCAUGAAAUUAGCUUUGAGUUGCACUGUAGUGACACCUGAUGCAAGAAUUAGCAUGGAAGAUGCUCUUUCAACACUCAAAAAGAUCAGACUCCAGUUUUUCAAUAGUCUCCGCUAGGUAGAAUUAUACCGUUGUGUUUUAUUGAGUGUGAAAAAUUAAGGUGAAAGUUGAGGUAAUCAGCCAGCUAAGCUACUUAUUCCCGAAUGUUUUAUUGAGCGUGAAAAGUUAAAAUAGAUAUUUCUCGUUGACAUUCAUUUAUUACAGAAUUGAGUUAAAUAUGACAUUGUUAUCAGAUCAAUUUGGCAAUGCACAUGACAUGAAAAAUCACAUUAACGCCA